rnacentral:lncRNA from 1 species
AUGAGGACCCUUGCCCUCCUCACUGCCACCGUUCUCUUUGUGGCCCUGCAGGCUCAGGCGGAGCCACUUCGGGCAAGAGCUGAUGAAGCUGCAGCCCAGGAGUAGCCUGGAGCAGAUGAUCAGGAAGUGUCUGUUUCCUUUACAUGGGAUGAAAGCGCUGCACUUCCACUUUCAGGCUCAGGGAGAGGCUUGAGGUGCAUUUGCAGACGAGGAAUUUGCCAUUUCUUUCAACGUCGCUUUGGGUCCUGUGCCCUUCCUGGUAGAUUAUACCGGAUCUGCUGCUGCUGA